CGAAAGUCCUCUUUCGGGGGCAGGCUUCGGCAGCCGAAAGGCUUGCCUCCCAGGCAGGUUCGGCGGCCGAAAGUUCUUCGGCUGCCGAACCUGGUUUCUGCCAAAGGGCAGAAACUUGGUUCCUCAUGCACAUUUUCCUCUCAAACUUUUCAAACAUGCAUAUACCUAUUCUACAACAUUCCCAAACAAACACAAACAAGCAUACAAGCUCCUAGGGGCUUCAAACCAUCAAAAACCCCAACUACAACACAUCAAACAACUCACAUUAUUCAUAAACACAUAUAAAACCCAUAAACCUAACCAUGAGCUAAACAUGCAUUCUACCCCAUAGAUCUACUUAAAACUUACUUAAAACAUGCCAUAAGCUCAAGAUCGGCCCUUACCUCUUGAAGAUCGAGAGAAGAAUGACCUUAGCUCGGAAAAUGGGAGAGAGAGAGUUCCUUGAACCUCCAAGCUCCAAAACUUGCUCAAAUGCUCAAAAUCUUCAAAACAAGGGUAAAACUAAUGAAAAUC
rnacentral:lncRNA from 1 species